rnacentral:rRNA from 1 species
UCUCCUGGAAACGGGUGGUAAUGCCGGAUGUUCCACAUGAGCGCAUGCGAGUGUGGGAAAGGCUUUUUGCGGCAUGGGAUGGGGUCGCGUCCUAUCAGCUUGUUGGUGGGGUAACGGCCUACCAAGGCGUUGACGGGUAGCCGGCCUGAGAGGGCGACCGGCCACAUUGGGACUGAGAUACGGCCCAGACUCCUACGGGAGGCAGCAGUGGGGAAUAUUGCACAAUGGGCGCAAGCCUGAUGCAGCGACGCCGCGUGCGGGAUGGAGGCCUUCGGGUUGUAAACCGCUUUUGUUCAAGGGCAAGGCACGGUUUCGGCCGUGUUGAGUGGAUUGUUCGAAUAAGCACCGGCUAACUACGUGCCAGCAGCCGCGGUAAUACGUAGGGUGCAAGCGUUAUCCGGAUUUAUUGGGCGUAAAGGGCUCGUAGGCGGUUCGUCGCGUCCGGUGUGAAAGUCCAUCGCUUAACGGUGGAUCCGCGCCGGGUACGGGCGGGCUUGAGUGCGGUAGGGGAGACCGGAAUUCCCGGUGUAACGGUGGAAUGUGUAGAUAUCGGGAAGAACACCA